GCAGUCGUGGCCGAGUGGUUAAGGCGAUGGAAUAGAAAUCCAUUGGCGCAGUCGACAGGCUCGAAUCUUGUCGACUACG
rnacentral:tRNA from 1 species